AGAGUUGAGAUCGGGUCGUCUC
rnacentral:miRNA from 1 species